CGGACAACACUUCGUAAAACCAAGUUGGCUCGCUGCUUCCCUUCUCCUCGUCUCAUCCUCCGGCCCACCUCUUUUUUGUUUCCUCUCUCCCCGGGCUCGUAUCUCUCUUCUUCUCCUUCUCGUCUCUUCGUUUUCUUCUUCGCGUUCCUACCAAACUCCUCUUCCCUAUCUCUCUCGUCUCCCCCGCUCCUCUCUCCACGCGGAGCUCGAAACCCUAGCCUGUCCAAUCACGCCUCGAUCGCGAGGACGAGGAGAUCGAGAAGGCGAGGUAGAGCUCGUGAAGGAUCCGAGAGGGCGGUGGAGCGGCUUAUUCUCGUUCUCCUCUUCGUUCAUUUCGGUUUUUUUUUGCUUUCGCAUUGGAUUAGGGUUUGAUCGGAGGUCCUUGGAUGGCGACGGAGGGCGCGGGGAGCUCCGGCGCCCGGGAGGGAUCGCCGUCGCGCCACCGCGGGCGGCGGCGGAAGGUGGAGGUCUACAACGAGGUGCUCCGCCGCCUCAAGAGCUCCGGGUGUCCCGAAGCGCUUUCGCCGGCCUUCGACGGCGAGCUCUUGGCGCACUUCGACCGCCUCCCUCCCAGAUAUGCAUUGGAUGUAAAUGUAGAGAGAGCAGAAGAUGUCUUGAUGCACAAGAGGUUGCUGCAGCAGGCGUGCGAUCCUGCCAACAGGCCCGCUUUUGAGGUUCGUCUUGUCCAGGUAAUGAAUAUUCACAGUAUGGUCAAACAUGAGACUUCUCAUUCUAAUAGGCAGGAGGAGCAAAAUGUGAAACAUUUUCCAUAUGCGGGCAAUGAACAAAGCAUUUAUUUCUAUCCGGCCUUCGCUCUAUCAUCGGAUCAUAAAGCUUUGGCUCUUGACGUUGAUAGCCAACAGGUUCAAGAUGGAGAUAGAGCUGUUCAUUCUUACCGGCACUCUUUCAGUGUUUGCGUGAACCAUGUAGCGUUUGGUCUGGAUGAAUUUAGUGGUGGAAGGAUGCGGUGUUUAUCCUACUUUAUAAUUUGUGCCUCUAAAACUUGGAGGCCUAUACACGAGAUCACUUUUUCAACAGAUGAUAAGCCAAAGCUUCUUAGUCAGUUAACUUCCUUGCUUGCUGAAGUUGGUCUCAGCAUUCGAGAAGCACAUGCGUUUUCCACUAAUGACGGUUACUCGUUAGAUAUUUUUGUGGUUGAUGGCUGGCUAUCGGAGGACACUGGCAAUCUAAGAAGUGCACUGAAGAAAGAAAUUGUCAAAACAAAGUCAAAGUUACCUAAAGAGGAAGUAGAAGCUAUGGAGGAAUGCCCAACUGAUCAUGUCCAGAUACCUGUAGAUGGAGCUGAUGUUUGGGAAAUUGAUGUCAGGCUUCUAAAAUUUGAGAGUAAACUGGCAUAUGGAUCUUAUGGUAAUCUUUACCGUGGAACAUACUGUAGCCAAGAUGUAGCCAUUAAGGUUCUGAAACCGGAGCUUGUCAGCAUUGAUAGGCUGCGUGAGUUUGCACAGGAAGUAUAUAUUAUGAGAAAGGUUCGUCACAAGAAUGUUGUGCAGUUUAUUGGCGCAUGCACCAGACCACCUAUUUUGUGUAUAGUUACAGAAUUCAUGCGUGGAGGGAGUGUAUUUGACUUUCUUCACAACAAGAAAGGUGUUUUCCAGCUCCCAGAUGUGCUCAGGAUUGCUACUGAUGUAUCAAAGGGAAUGAACUAUUUGCACCACUGUAAUAUUAUCCACAGGGACCUGAAGACAGCAAAUCUUCUUAUGGAUGAAAAUGAGGUUGUCAAGGUAGCAGAUUUUGGAGUGGCCCGGGUUAAAGCUCAGUCUGGAGUAAUGACUGCAGAAACAGGAACAUACCGAUGGAUGGCUCCUGAGGUAAUUGAACACAAAUUUUACGAUCACAAGGCUGAUGUUUUCAGUUUUGGUAUUGUUCUUUGGGAAUUGCUGGCAGGAAAGCUCCCAUACGAAGAUCUAACACCACUUCAAGCAGCAGUUGCUGUUGUUCAAAAGGUCUCAUGCAUAUUUUUCUGUCGCUCGUGUAAUUUUUAUGGCAACUUGUUGCACUAAAUCUCCUCUUUUUUUGGAAGGGUUUGAGACCCACUAUUCCAAAGGACACUCAUCCUAAGCUUGCUGUUCUGCUCGAGAAAUGUUGGCAGCAAGACCCAGCUUUAAGGCCAAAUUUCUCAGAUAUUCUAGAGAUACUUAACAUCAUUGCCAAGGAAUGAACAGGUUGUGCCCAUGGGCCAUCAGAAGAAGUCACUUGGUCAUCUUUUCUCAGUUCUCAGGCGUGACCGUUGACGCUUGAUGCUGUUGGCAUGUUUCUUCUCUUUCGCAGUCUCUUAAUUUUCCUUUGUAAUUAUUAUGCUUGUUUCAAUGGCUUACUAUCCAUAGCGAUGUAUUGUAUUACUAGCGGGGCAAUGUGUUUCCAAGCACGCCCGUUUUCAUAA